CGCCUGUUUAUCAAAAACAUCUUUUCUUGUUAGUUUUUGAAGUAUGGCCUGCCCGCUGACUUUGGUGUUGAAGGGCCGCGGUAUUUUGACCGUGCAAAGGUAGCAUAGUCAUUAGUUCUUUAAUUGUGAUCUGGUAUGAAUGGCUUGACGAGGCAUGGGCUGUCUUAAUUUUGAAUUGUUUAUUGAAUUUGGUCUUUGAGUUAAAAUUCUUAGAUGUUUUUAUGGGACGAGAAGACCCUAUAGAGUUUAACAUUUAUUAUGGUCCAUUUCUGUUUGUGAGGGUUCACUGGGCCGUCUAAUAUGUUUUGUUGGGGUGAUGGGAGGGAUUAAUUUAACCCCUCCUUUUAUUAUUAUAUUUAUUUAUAUUUGCUUGAUCCAUUUAUUUUGAUUGUAAGAUUAAAUUACCUUAGGGAUAACAGCGUAA
rnacentral:rRNA from 5 species